rnacentral:rRNA from 1 species
AUGUCCGCGGUUUUGUCCGCCCUCCGCAGCGCCGGCCGGCGGCAGCUCUCCGCUUCGACGGCCGGCGUGAGGCAGGCGACCGGGUCACACGUGUUCCGGAUUGACACGUACGCUCAGGCCAGGAGGACGAUGCCCAAGGGCUGGAAGAUGAGUUCGAGCACGUUCAGCGUCGGCGGCCACGACUGGCGUGUCGAGUGCUAUCCGAACGGCGACUGGCAGGAACAUGACGGCUCCAUCUCUCUCUACCUCAACCAUGCCAGCCACAGCAAGACCGGCGACGCCAUAGCGGAGUUCCGGUUUUGUAUACUCAACCAGGUGGACUGGGAGGAGCCAUCGUGGACUAGAUUCUCGGGGGUGCGCCUCUUCUCGGAUACCACCGAUCGGUCCUGGGGCUGGGCCGACUUCGUAAAACAUGAGAAUCUGGAGGAGGAGAAGGAUCUCUAUGUCAAGGACGACUGCCUCGCCGUCCUGUGCGACGUCACCGUCACAGCUGGGAUGCCCACCGACGACCACGCCGAGGCUGCCACGCCAAAACCUGAGGCCGUGGCGGCGGCACCACAUUUCGACUUACACGCGGAACUCGUCUCGAACAACCAAAAACCGGACGUGCUGAUUGAGGUCGGCGGCGAGACGUUGGCAGUCCACCGGCGGGUGCUCGAGGCCCGAUCCCCCGUCUUCAAGGCGGAUCUCUCCGAGGGCGCUACCACUGUGCUACGCGUCGACGACAUGGACGCCGACGUGUGCAAGGCUCUGCUCUGGUUCAUCUACAGCGGCACGCCGGAUAUGAACCAGCUAGAGACGGCGGACACGAUGGCUGAGCGGCUGCUCGUUGCGGCGGACAGGUAUAAGCUGGAGGAGCUGAAGCAGAUAUGCGCGGAUGCGCUACGCCGGCGAAUCCGCAUGAGCUCCGUGGGGACAACCCUUGCGCUGGCCGAGCGGCAUAGUUGCCCCGAACUGAGGGAAGCAUGCAUGCAGUACAUAUCUUUUCCCGGCAACUUGAAAGCACUCAUGGCUACCGAUGGUUUUGAGCAGAUGAAAACAGAUUGCUCCUCUGCUCUGUUGGAGCUCGUCCUGAAGCAGAUGGUGCGGCUGGAGCUGUAG